rnacentral:rRNA from 1 species
GACGAACGCUGGCGGCGUGCUUAACACAUGCAAGUCGAACGGAAAGGCCCUGCUUGCAGGGUACUCGAGUGGCGAACGGGUGAGUAACACGUGGGUGAUCUGCCCUGCACUUCGGGAUAAGCCUGGGAAACUGGGUCUAAUACCGGAUAGGAGCCAUUUUUAGUGUGAUGGUUGGAAAGUUUUUUCGGUGUAGGAUGAGCUCGCGGCCUAUCAGCUUGUUGGUGGGGUAAUGGCCUACCAAGGCGGCGACGGGUAGCCGGCCUGAGAGGGUGGACGGCCACAUUGGGACUGAGAGACGGCCCAGACGCCUACGGGAGGAAGCAGUGGGGAAUAUUGCACAAUGGGCGCAAGCCGGAUGCAGCGACGCCGCGUGGGGGAUGACGGCCUUCGGGUUGUAAACGCCUUUCGCUAGGGACGAAGCUUUUUGUGACGGUACCUAGAGAAGAAGCACCGGCUAACUACGUG